AUUGAACGCUGGCGGCAUGCCUUACACAUGCAAGUCGAACGGCAGCACGGGUGCUUGCACCUGGUGGCGAGUGGCGAACGGGUGAGUAAUACAUCGGAACAUGUCCUGUAGUGGGGGAUAGCCCGGCGAAAGCCGGAUUAAUACCGCAUACGAUCUACGGAUGAAAGCGGGGGACCUUCGGGCCUCGCGCUAUAGGGUUGGCCGAUGGCUGAUUAGCUAGUUGGUGGGGUAAAGGCCUACCAAGGCGACGAUCAGGAGCGGGUCUGAGAGGGCGACCAGCCACACUGGGACUGAGACACGGCCCAGACUCCUACGGGAGGCAGCAGUGGGGAAUUUUGGACAAUGGGCGAAAGCCUGAUCCAGCAAUGCCGCGUGUGUGAAGAAGGCCUUCGGGUUGUAAAGCACUUUUGUCCGGAAAGAAAUCCUUGGCCCUAAUACGGUCGGGGGAUGACGGUACCGGAAGAAUAAGCACCGGCUAACUACGUG
rnacentral:rRNA from 1 species